rnacentral:lncRNA from 13 species
GGGCAUGAGAAAAACUCAAGCAGAGGUGCUGCUGGCCACAGAAGUUUCCAGCUAAUGAAGCAACACUGGAAGGAUCUUGUCACACAGUUGAAUUCUAUCUUCUGAGGAGGCAUGAAUUGAGGUUGCUGCAGACCCAUUGGAAUUCACUGUCAGUACUUGGACACCUUCUACUGGAAGCGAGUUGGAAUGUGGGAAGCCAGACGCAGGAUGACUGUGGUCAGAAAUUAUUCUUCGUGACCAAAUUGGCUGAAAACUGGUUCUACUAUUUCUCUAAGUGGCAGCAUUCAUUUCUAUAACUUUAAAAAUUGUUUGUCUGCUAAAGAUCAACUAUUUUGUAUUUUUACACUUGGAUUCACCUCAAUAACAUGUAAGUAUAUAUACAACUAUCCUAUUAAUAUAUCUAGUUGCAAAUCAUUACAUUAUAGUCUUAGUAAGCCUUAAUGUCCCUUUCCCCAAAACCUCGCCAUGCCCUCACUUUGUGGGUGAGGGAAUCUUUUUUCUAUGAGUUGACUUUGGUAUGAGAAGGAACAUAUAGUAUAUAUCAUUGGCAUUACUAUCGGUCGUAAUCAGAAACCUAAAAGUUAUCUUUGAUUCCUCCCAGUUCUUAAUUCCUCACACGCAAUUAAUUGGCAAUCUUGUCCAUAUCUAAAGUAUAUCUUUUAGGUUCAACUUCUCCAUUGUGUCUGGUGCCCACCUAAUCCAAGCCUGUCUCCUCCAUUGUGUCUGGUGCCCACCUAAUCCAAGCCUGUCUCCUAUUUCUUCUUUGAUAGCUUCAUACUGGGGUGUUGCUGAGUUCACUGUGGCCCCUCUGUAAUGCCUUCUGGUGACACUGCCAGAGUGAUCUUAUAUAACCUUAACCGUAUGACCUCACAAUCCUGCUUAAACACCUUUGAGAACUUACCUUGGCACAAAAGAUAAAAUCCAGAUUCACUGCUGUAGCCGACGAGGCCCUUGUGAUCUGGCCUGUUGUGACUGUCCCCCAUUGUCACUAAGCUCUUUCCACACAAGCCUUUUUUCCUGAUCCUUGAACAAUGCAGCUCUUUACUGUCUUAGGACUUUGGAGCAUGCUGUUUCCUCUAUCUAGAGAGCUUGUCCUUUAGUGCUGCUCAUGGCUGGCUUCUCACAUUUCGGGUCUUGGUAAAGCUUUGUCUUUUGGAGAGUGUUUCCCUCAAAGCCCUUUUUAAAGGCUAGUAUUCUUCCUUUUUGUAUACACACAUGCACAUACACAUACACAUGCACACACACACACACCGCUUUUCAUUCACAUCACUGUGUUUCUCCCCUACUUAUGUUAGUUCUGCAAUUAUUUAAAUUAUAAUAUAAGCGCUAUGCGGGCAGAGGCUCAUCUGUUUUGUUUAUAAGGAUGUAAAACAGAUCCUGACACAAAGGAACUGCCCAAUAAAUGCUUAAGGAAUUAGGAAGACA